rnacentral:rRNA from 1 species
GGACUACAAGGGUAUCUAAUCCUGUUUGCUCCCCACGCUUUCGCACAUGAGCGUCAAUGCCAGACCAGGUAGUCGCCUUCGCCACUGGUGUUCUUCCAAAUAUCUACGAAUUUCACCUCUACACUUGGAAUUCCACUACCCUCUUCUGGAUUCUAGCUCACCAGUCUUAAAAGCAAUUCCCAGGUUAAGCCCGGGGCUUUCACUCCUAAUUUAGUGAGCCGCCUGCGUGCGCUUUACGCCCAGUAAUUCCGAACAACGCUAGCCCCCUUCGUAUUACCGCGGCUGCUGGCAC